GACGAACGCUGGCGGUGUGCUUCACACAUGCAAGUCGAACGAGGUAGCAAUACCUAGUGGCGGACGGGUGAGUAACGCGUGGGAAUCUGCCUUUAGAUGGGGGAUAACGGGUCGAAAGACUCGCUAAUACCGCAUAUGACGAAAGUUGAAAGGAGUAAUCCGUCUAAAGAUGAGCCCGCGUCCGAUUAGCUAGUUGGUAGAGUAAAAGCCUACCAAGGCGACGAUCGGUAGCUGGUCUGAGAGGAUGAUCAGCCACAAUGGGACUAGAGACACGGCCCAUACUCCUACGGAGGCAGCAGUGGGAAUUUUACGCAAUGGCGAAAGCCUGACGUAGCGACACCGCGUGAGCGAAGAAGCCCCUUGGGGUGUAAAGCUCUGUCAGCUGGACGAAAAAAUGACGGUACCAGCAGA
rnacentral:rRNA from 1 species